rnacentral:rRNA from 1 species
UGUGGUGAAGAUGACAAAGAGGUCACACCUGUUCCCAUACCGAACACAGAAGUUAAGCUCUUUAGUGCCGACGAUAGUUGGGGGGUGCCCCCUGUGAAAAUAGGUUUUUGCCACAU